UAUCACUUUUUAGGGUGCCAAUGCAACAAUUUUAGCUGACAUAUUUUAUACAAUGAAAUGCUACCAACCUCUCCAAUACAACCUUUUAAAAAUUUUAACAUUUGUGCUAAAGUGAAAAAUUUGAUCAACAUGUCUUUUAAAAUAGUUAAUGAGUUGUGAAGUAUGGUACAAUUUUGUAAUAAUACAUUUUGCAAUCAGCAAUACAUUUUACUUAUAUUCAAUAUAAAAUUGUCUUCACACAGUACAACAUUUUAACAUUGGCAUCACAACUGGGACAAGAAGUUGAAAUUUAGAACAGACAACAGAUGCUCCCAUUUGUGAUAAUUUGUUCUUUUAAUUUGUAAAGGGACACAACCAUAUAAUAGUGUUUAUAUCUUAAAAAAACUGUCACAAAAUGAAGGAUCUCAAAUAAACCUUGAUUCAUUAAGGAAAAAAAUAAAUUUCUGGAUUUCUACAAGUGUUUCUCAUGAUAAUUGCUUAAUUAAAACAACCUUCAUGAAAAUUCUAAACUUCACUUUGUUACAGCUGUAAUAUUCAAAAGGAUAAAUGAAAUAUAUUUUUUUACGAAUAAUUUGAAUGAAUUUUUUAAUAUCUAGCUCUUAAGUAUGCAAACAGGACAAUAAAAGGUUGUUUGUUCAAAUAAAAAUAAUUUAAAUGUUCAUCAUAAAAUUAUAGAGUUAUCUCCCAUUGUCCAUGUUUAUGAGGAAAUUCAAGCUUAGUGGUUUCAGUAAAAUGUGAAAAUUUCUAAGAUUAUGUGAUGGACGUUAAAGUGAUGACCAAUUUAAGUAAAAAACAUGAUAUAAUUAUAUGCUAUUACUUAAAACUUCUGAUCCAUCUUGUUUCUAUGUUUCAAGGUUGUAUUAGUAGGUAAUCAACUCUAGAUUUGUACAAAAAUAAGUACAAUAUUAUCUUUCCAUGUGAUACCUCUCAUAAUCACACAAAAAGUGUUGCAAGCUGACUCUUAAAAUAACCUCUUCUUUACACUCAAACAUAUAUAUAUAAAUAAUGGUCACUGCACUGUACAAGGCCACAAUAUUGCAAACUUUCUAUAAAUUAUUAAUUUUUUACAUCAGUAUACAUAUCGGCAUUUGUCAAAUUAUUUAAAGCACAAUUCUGAUUUUGUAGCCAAUUUCACCCUCACAUUUCCCUAGAAAUAUUGAACAUGUUUAUGUUCACUAUCAGUAAGAGUUGAGAGGACAUAAUUCAUGAAAGACAUUUACGAUAUAUUAUUAUUUCACCCAAACUGGUCAUAAACGAAAGAGUUGGGUUCAAGGGACAUAAUUAAUGGUAAAAAGACACCAAAUCAGAAGUGCAGAACAUUGUACAGCUAAAUAUCUUGAACAAAUGGGGUAUCAAAUAACUGUCAAAUGACUUCACAAUUUAUUUUGGUACCUAGUGAUAUGAUAUGAUAAAGUUCAAAGGGACAUAACCUUUGCCAAAAAAAGACUGUCACAAGAGUACAACGUAAGACAAAUACUGCCAGUAUUUCCUGGUUAGAAAACUUAGAUGUGUUUACUGGUACAUGUGUUAUCAUCAUAUCUAAGAUAUAUUGACUUUACAACCAAAAUUAAAGACACAUAUUUUUUAGUAUGAAAUAAAAAAAAUGAUCCCUUUAUAAAUCAUGUGACCAUACAUAAUACUGCAGCACCAUGACAUGUGAUGAAAGUUGAAAGAAAAAUGCACAAUGCAAAUAAUUAAUCUAUUACUGUUUGAAUGACUAGAAUAAACUUAUAGCGUCAUGCAAUAAGUCAAAUCAUAAUGACCAUCAGAGUUUUAAUCAUUAAACAUGAUUAAAUAUAGGAAAUUAAUUUAAUAAUUUAAUACUAUUUCCCACAAUAUGUAAAACAUGUGAACAGUAAGGACAUCAUAUUUUCUCAGUUCCACAAAAAACAUUUUCAUUUACAACUGUCCAUACCGAUUCACUGGUAUAUUACAAUUUCAAAAUUUACAAAACAAACUCGUUAUUUGAUAAAAUACACAAUAAAAAAAUAAGGCAUUCAAUAUCACAAUGGAUUAGCACUGAUUUUACAAUUAAAUGCAAAAUAUGGACUUCUGUCUAACAAGAUGGCUAGUAUAUUUACACUAAACAUCUAGUUGACCAAUUAUAUAAAUAUCUUCCCCCAACUUUACCCUCCAAAAUCUAAGGAGCACAUUAUGACUGAACACUCAAAGAAGUAUUACAAUGUAAUAUUCAUACAUUUUGUCACUUUGAUGCGAAAAAGUAAUACCAUAACUUUUAUGAUAGUUUUUGUUUCUGAACAGGCAACAUUACUUGAUGCAAAAUCACAACACCAAUUCAUACAGAAAAGUUUUCAACAUCACUGUUCUAUAAUUAGACAGUUGUCACCGACAACAAAGGAUUGUAGGUUUUUCCCUCAGUAUGCCGACUUCCAUGUGCAAGCAUUUCUUGAAUUGUCAUAAAAUCGUCAAAUACUUUUCUACCUUUAUUCUUCAUCAUUUUUCUAUGACUUAGUUCAAAAUGCUUGCACAUGGAAGUCGGCAUACUGAGGGAAAAACCUACAAUCCUUUGUUGUCGGUGACAACUGUCUAAUUAUAGAACAGUGAUGUUGAAAACUUUUCUGUAUGAAUUGGUGUUGUGAUUUUGCAUCAAGUAAUGUUGCCUGUUCAGAAACAAAAACUAUCAUAAAAGUUAUGGUAUUACUUUUUCGCAUCAAAGUGACAAAAUGUAUGAAUAUUACAUUGUAAUACUUCUUUGAGUGUUCAGUCAUAAUGUGCUCCUUAGAUUUUGGAGGGUAAAGUUGGGGGAAGAUAUUUAUAUAAUUGGUCAACUAGAUGUUUAGUGUAAAUAUACUAGCCAUCUUGUUAGACAGAAGUCCAUAUUUUGCAUUUAAUUGUAAAAUCAGUGCUAAUCCAUUGUGAUAUUGAAUGCCUUAUUUUUUUAUUGUGUAUUUUAUCAAAUAACGAGUUUGUUUUGUAAAUUUUGAAAUUGUAAUAUACCAGUGAAUCGGUAUGGACAGUUGUAAAUGAAAAUGUUUUUUGUGGAACUGAGAAAAUAUGAUGUCCUUACUGUUCACAUGUUUUACAUAUUGUGGGAAAUAGUAUUAAAUUAUUAAAUUAAUUUCCUAUAUUUAAUCAUGUUUAAUGAUUAAAACUCUGAUGGUCAUUAUGAUUUGACUUAUUGCAUGACGCUAUAAGUUUAUUCUAGUCAUUCAAACAGUAAUAGAUUAAUUAUUUGCAUUGUGCAUUUUUCUUUCAACUUUCAUCACAUGUCAUGGUGCUGCAGUAUUAUGUAUGGUCACAUGAUUUAUAAAGGGAUCAUUUUUUUUAUUUCAUACUAAAAAAUAUGUGUCUUUAAUUUUGGUUGUAAAGUCAAUAUAUCUUAGAUAUGAUGAUAACACAUGUACCAGUAAACACAUCUAAGUUUUCUAACCAGGAAAUACUGGCAGUAUUUGUCUUACGUUGUACUCUUGUGACAGUCUUUUUUUGGCAAAGGUUAUGUCCCUUUGAACUUUAUCAUAUCAUAUCACUAGGUACCAAAAUAAAUUGUGAAGUCAUUUGACAGUUAUUUGAUACCCCAUUUGUUCAAGAUAUUUAGCUGUACAAUGUUCUGCACUUCUGAUUUGGUGUCUUUUUACCAUUAAUUAUGUCCCUUGAACCCAACUCUUUCGUUUAUGACCAGUUUGGGUGAAAUAAUAAUAUAUCGUAAAUGUCUUUCAUGAAUUAUGUCCUCUCAACUCUUACUGAUAGUGAACAUAAACAUGUUCAAUAUUUCUAGGGAAAUGUGAGGGUGAAAUUGGCUACAAAAUCAGAAUUGUGCUUUAAAUAAUUUGACAAAUGCCGAUAUGUAUACUGAUGUAAAAAAUUAAUAAUUUAUAGAAAGUUUGCAAUAUUGUGGCCUUGUACAGUGCAGUGACCAUUAUUUAUAUAUAUAUGUUUGAGUGUAAAGAAGAGGUUAUUUUAAGAGUCAGCUUGCAACACUUUUUGUGUGAUUAUGAGAGGUAUCACAUGGAAAGAUAAUAUUGUACUUAUUUUUGUACAAAUCUAGAGUUGAUUACCUACUAAUACAACCUUGAAACAUAGAAACAAGAUGGAUCAGAAGUUUUAAGUAAUAGCAUAUAAUUAUAUCAUGUUUUUUACUUAAAUUGGUCAUCACUUUAACGUCCAUCACAUAAUCUUAGAAAUUUUCACAUUUUACUGAAACCACUAAGCUUGAAUUUCCUCAUAAACAUGGACAAUGGGAGAUAACUCUAUAAUUUUAUGAUGAACAUUUAAAUUAUUUUUAUUUGAACAAACAACCUUUUAUUGUCCUGUUUGCAUACUUAAGAGCUAGAUAUUAAAAAAUUCAUUCAAAUUAUUCGUAAAAAAAUAUAUUUCAUUUAUCCUUUUGAAUAUUACAGCUGUAACAAAGUGAAGUUUAGAAUUUUCAUGAAGGUUGUUUUAAUUAAGCAAUUAUCAUGAGAAACACUUGUAGAAAUCCAGAAAUUUAUUUUUUUCCUUAAUGAAUCAAGGUUUAUUUGAGAUCCUUCAUUUUGUGACAGUUUUUUUAAGAUAUAAACACUAUUAUAUGGUUGUGUCCCUUUACAAAUUAAAAGAACAAAUUAUCACAAAUGGGAGCAUCUGUUGUCUGUUCUAAAUUUCAACUUCUUGUCCCAGUUGUGAUGCCAAUGUUAAAAUGUUGUACUGUGUGAAGACAAUUUUAUAUUGAAUAUAAGUAAAAUGUAUUGCUGAUUGCAAAAUGUAUUAUUACAAAAUUGUACCAUACUUCACAACUCAUUAACUAUUUUAAAAGACAUGUUGAUCAAAUUUUUCACUUUAGCACAAAUGUUAAAAUUUUUAAAAGGUUGUAUUGGAGAGGUUGGUAGCAUUUCAUUGUAUAAAAUAUGUCAGCUAAAAUUGUUGCAUUGGCACCCUAAAAAGUGAUA
rnacentral:lncRNA from 1 species